UACGUAGGUGGCAAGCGUUGUCCGGAUUUACUGGGCGUAAAGGGCGCGUAGGCGGCAAUUCAAGUCAUCUGUGAAAUCUCCGGGCUUAACUCGGAAUGGUCAGGUGAUACUGCUUUGCUAGAGUGCAGAAGGGGCAAUCGGAAUUCUUGGUGUAGCGGUGAAAUGCGUAGAUAUCAAGAGGAACACCUGAGGUGAAGACGGGUUGCUGGGCUGACACUGACGCUGAGGCGCGAAAGCUAGGGGAGCAAACGGG
rnacentral:rRNA from 1 species